UUUCUUUUUCGCAACGGGUUUGCCGCCAGAACACAGGUGUUGUGAAAACCGCCCAUACAAUCCAAAAUGGGGAAGGAAAAGACUCACAUCAACAUCGUCGUCAUUGGACACGUAGAUUCGGGCAAGUCCACCAUUACCGGACAUCUGAUCUACAAAUGUGGUGGCAUUGACAAGAGAACCAUUGAAAAAUUUGAGAAGGAGGCAGCUGAGAUGGGAAAGGGCUCCUUCAAGCAUGCCUGGGUCUUGGAUAAACUGAAGGCUGAGCGUGAGCGUGGUAUCACCAUUGACAUCUCCCUGUGGAAAUUUGAGACCAGCAAAUACUAUGUGACUAUCAUUGAUGCCCCAGGACACAGAGACUUUAUCAAAAACAUGAUUACAGGCACAUCUCAGGCUGACUGUGCUGUCCUGAUUGUUGCCGCUGGUGUUGGUGAAUUUGAAGCUGGUAUUUCAAAGAAUGGGCAGACCCGUGAGCAUGCCCUUCUGGCUUACACACUGGGUGUGAAGCAACUAAUUGUUGGUGUUAACAAGAUGGAUUCCACUGUGGAAAUGCACCAUGAAGCUUUGAGCGAAGCUCUUCCAGGAGACAACGUGGGCUUCAAUGUCAAGAAUGUGUCUGUCAAAGAUGUUCGUCGUGGCAAUGUUGCUGGUGAUAGCAAAAAUGACCCACCGAUGGAAGCAGCUGGCUUCACUGCUCAGGUGAUUAUCCUGAACCAUCCAGGCCAAAUUAGUGCUGGCUAUGCUCCUGUACUGGAUUGUCACACAGCUCACAUUGCCUGCAAGUUUGCUGAGCUGAAGGAAAAGAUUGACCGCCGCCCUGGUAAAAAGCUGGAAGAUGGCCCCAAAUUCCUGAAAUCUGGUGAUGCUGCCAUCGUCGAUAUGGUUCCUGGCAAACCCAUGUGUGUUGAGAGCUUCUCAGAUUAUCCUCCUCUGGGUCGUUUUGCUGUUCGUGACAUGAGACAGACGGUUGCUGUUGGUGUCAUCAAAGCAGUGGACAAGAAGGCUGCUGGAGCUGGCAAGGUCACCAAGUCUGCCCAGAAAGCUCAGAAGGCUAAAUGAAUAUUAUCUCUAAUACCUGCCACCCCAGUCUUAAUCAGUGGUGGAAGAACGGUCUCAGAACUGUUUGUUUCAAUUGGCCAUUUAAGUUUAAUAGUAAAAGACUGGUUAAUGAUAACAAUGCAUCGUAAAACCUUCAGAAGGAAAGGAAAAUGUUUUGUGGACCAUUUGUUUCUUUUUGUGUGGCAGUUUUAAGUUAUUAGUUUUUAAAAUCAGUACUUUUUAAUGGAAACAACAUGACCAAAAAUCUGUCACAGAAUUUUGAGACCCAUUAAAACAAAGUUUAAUGAGAAAAAAAAAAAAAAAA